CUCAAAUUCAAAGUAGCAUUUUAAACAAAGCAAUUCAGUGUGCCUUGGGUUAUUGUUGAAUAAACUGUUAAUGAACCUCAGGUUGGACACAGGGCUGAAGUGGCACCACCUUUCAUUUAAAAAAUGAUUUAUAAGUAGUCCAAACUAGGUCAAAUUAUGGACAUAUGAAGGAACGGUGGCACCAUGUUCCAGAAGAAUGUACCUAUUGCCCCCCCCCACACACACACAGUUUAUAGAAGCAUCCUGUGUGUGAAUGUGAAGGGAAAUUCCAUCUCAGAGCUGAGAGACCAGGUCCUCUGAGGUUGGUGGUCAAACCAUCCCCCACUCCUAGUAGUAGAGCUCGGGGAAUGAAUAACUACACAGGAGUCACAGGUAUCAGGUGUGUAGGGAAGCAUGUAGCAUGUAGGCACUGUAUAGUCUUCACCCUUCAUCUCUACACUUCCUGAUUGUCAAAUGUUGGCUGGUGUCUAGUAGGGGUGUUUGUAGGUUAUGUCAUGUGUGCAUGCCAAAAUUGUGCAAUCGUUCCAUUAUUAGUGCCCACGGGCUGGAAGAGAGGACUGAGUAGGCGAAGUGGAAGAAAGACAGAGUAGAACUGCCGGUUUUACUCACCCUGAUGAAGGUGACUUGUCAUCUUUGUGAUGAGAUAAUAUCGUAUCAUUUCCGUCACCAUAAAAAAAUCAAGAUGUGGCCUGAUAGCUACAUAAUUGGCUGAGCUAGAGGCACGUGUACAGUAGCGUAGUUUAUGGUUAUCCGAUUGGCCGGGGGCGCGGUUAACGCAGCAGAAAGACCCAAAAGGCUGGUUGAAGUUUGAAAGGGUUCAUUCGCAGCGGAACGCUGAACAGAUCUGUCUUACAUCAAUUUUACACAACAAACAGGAAUUCUGGUGAGAUGGUGUCAAUCUUCGCUGUGAAUGGGGUGUUUCUGCUGAUUAGAUGUGCCAGCUCCCUGUCCAUUCACUGUAACUUUUCUCAAGCUCCCAAUGGUACAACAACCUAUCACCUCUCAGAGCCCCCGCCAUCAAUGAAUUGUGAAACAGAGUGGGCAUAUCCAAAUGGAUCCACGCUGACCUUUAAAGGUGAAACAAACUCAGAUCAGGUUCUGGGUCUGACCAGACAGUCCAUCACUACCACAGUCUGUCUGGGCACCCUGAAGUACACGGCGGACUGUGUAAAGCCUCAGGUACUGUAUCAAGUACUAAUGUUGCCUUUGAAUUUGGUUGUCACCUCUUCUCCAUGCAAGUGUGAGAGAGAAGUAAGGUCAGACAUUCAGAAA
rnacentral:lncRNA from 8 species